GACGAACGCUGGCGGCGUGCUUAACACAUGCAAGUCGAACGGAAAGGCCCUGCUUUUGUGGGGUGCUCGAGUGGAGAACGGGUGAGUACCACGUGAGUAACCUGUACUUGACUUUGGGGUAACUUAAGGAAACUGGGGCUAAUACCGGAUAGGAGCUCCUGCUGCAUGGUGGGGGUUGGUCAGUUUCGGCGGUUGGGGAUGGACUAGCGGCUUAUGAGCUUGAUGGUGGGGUAGUGGCUUACCAAGCCUUUGAAGGGUAGCCGGCCUGAGAGGGUGACCGGCCACAUUAGUACUGCGAUACGGCCCAGUCGCCUACGGUAGGCAGCAGUGGAGAAUAUUACACAAUGGGCGGAAGCCAGACACAGCAACGCCGCGUGCGGGAUGACGUCCUUCGGGUUGUAAACCGCUUUCGCCUUAGACGAAGCGUGAGUGACGGUAAUGGGUAAAGAAGCACCGGCUAACUACGUG
rnacentral:rRNA from 1 species